GACGUAGGGCGCAAGCGUUGUCCGGAAUUAUUGGGCGUAAAGAGCUCGUAGGCGGUCUGUUGCGUCUGCUGUGAAAACCCGGGGCUUAACCCCUGGCUUGCAGUGGAUACGGACAGACUAGAGGUAGGUAGGGGAGAAUGGAAUUCCCGGUGUAGCGGUGAAAUGCGCAGAUAUCGGGAGGAACACCCGUGGCGAAGGCGGUUCUCUGGGCCUUACCUGACGCUGAGGAGCGAAAGCGUGGGGAGCGAACAGG
rnacentral:rRNA from 1 species